GUACGAACAAAUUUUUUGGGCCUUGAUGCGAAGAGGUUCAUUAAGUCCAUAAACUCCAAAAAAUACAUUACUUACAUUAUGAAUUACUUACUAUUAAACAAACAAAAAGUUCUCUUGGAUCCGAUUUUUUUAUGCUGCCUAUUUGUUUAUACGGGUGUUGGUCAAUAGACUACUACGUUAAAAAAGCAAAAAGUGUGCUAUGUGUCGUUAAGUUUAUAAUAAAUUUAUAUGAGUGUCCGACCGUUGGAGAAAACUGGGAAACUUUUGUCUAUCAUUAUGAUGAUAAGCUUGUAAAUGCUAUCAAAAAAGUUCUACCAUCGGUUCUCAUUCGAGGAUCAUGGUUUCAUUUUAUCAAGUUGUUAUCACGAAAAUGGCUAAGUCUUGGUCUAUCAAAAGAUUUUAAUCAUGAAGUAUCCAAAAUAAGUUGGAUAUUGAAGAUUUUGCCGGAAGAGAAAAUUGAUGAAGCCAUAAAAAUAAUUAUAGUUGAAGCAAAUAACGACGCUGAAAACUUUGAAAAUUUAAUUUUAUAUGCUAGAUUUAUCGAAAUGUGCUCAGAAUUAAUUAAAUGUGAAACGUUCAUUAAUAAUAACAGAGACAAUGCAAUUAAUAAAGCUGAAUGGCACAGCAUUUGUAUGCUUAGAAAUCUUGGCUGUAAUCAAUCAAUACAUGAAUUUCUUCAAUUGAUUAAAAAAAAUUUAAACAAGUGUGAAAAGCAGUGGAAUGACAUUGAAGACUUAAAAAAAAAAGAGGGGAAAUAAAAAUAACAUCAACAAUUGUGAAAAAGCUAAUAAAAUUUAAAAGUAAAAAACAAACUAUUGUAAACUUCACGAGAGAAGUUAUGACAUCUUACUUUAUGAAUUUAAUAAUACUCCAAUUACAGUGGCCACAGUAUCGUAACGACGUGGGGAAAUUAAAUGGAUUUCCGAAUCAUAUACAUUACUUAUCAUUAAAUGAAGAAAUGAAUAAUGAUAUCUUCGAUCCGAUUUGUUUAUACUGUCGAUCCAAAAAAGCAAUAGUUCAAAUAGCCGAUAAGUGUGAACAUUUCGUAGGAUGCUACGGGUGUUGGUUCACGGACUACUACGUUAAGAAAAACAAAAAGUGUGCUAUGUGUCGUCAAGCUUAUAAUAAAUUUAUAAUUGUUUCAUAAUAACGUAUG